GUGCUCACUUCAGCAGCACAUAUACUAAAAUUGGAAAGAUACAGAGAAGAUUAGCAUGGCCCUUGCGCAAGGAUGACGUGCAAAUUCAUGAAGUAUUCCGUAUUUUU
rnacentral:snRNA from 13 species